rnacentral:rRNA from 1 species
GAUGAACGCUGGCGGCGUGCCUAAUACAUGCAAGUCGAGCGGACAGACGCGGAGCUUGCGCCUCUGACGUUAGCGGCGGGCGGGUGAGUCACACGUGGAUACCCUCCCUAUAUGACUGGGAUAACUUCGGGAAACGGGCUCUAAUACCGUAUAAUCUCUUGCACCGCAUGGUGCGAUGGUGAAAGUCGGUUUUUCUGUCACUUAUCGAUGGUUCCGCGCUGCAUUAGCUAGUUGUUAAGGUCACGGCUUAUCAAGGCAAGGAUGCGUGGCCGACCUGAUAGGGUGAUCGGCCACACGGGAACUGGGACACGGUCCAGGGUCCUACGGGAGGCAGCAGUAGGGAAUCGGACGCAAUGGGCGAAAGCCUGACGGAGUAGCGCCGAGUGAGUGAUGAAGGCCUUCGGAGCGUAAAACUCUGUUACGAGGGAAGAACAAAUGUGGAAUGAACUAAGCACUUCGUGACGGUAACUAAUAAGAAAGCCACGGCUAACUACGUG